rnacentral:rRNA from 1 species
GAUAAACGCUGGCGGCGUGCCUAACACAUGCAAGUCGAACGCCCUUUUGCGCAAGUGAGAGGGAGUGGCGGACGGGUGAGUACCACGUGGGUACCUACCUUGAGGUGAGGAAUACCACCGAGAAAUCGGUGACAAGACCGCAUACGCUUGGCAACAAGCAAAGUCUCGCAAGAGACGCCACAAGAUGGGCCUGCGCCUGAUUAGCUAGUUGGUGAGGUAAUGGCNCACCAAGGCGACGAUCAGUAGCUGGUCUGAGAGGAUGAUCAGCCACACUGGGAUUGAGAACGGCCCAGACUCCGUACGGGGGCGG